rnacentral:lncRNA from 1 species
UUUAGUUAAAUAUUACUUUAAUUGCAACAAAACAGCUUUUGUGGCUGUCAAAUGAAAUCUAUAAAUAGGAAGUGGAGGUUAAGUCAUCCUGACUGAGCAGUUUUUAACUGCAGGCUCUAAAACUAUGUCAAGAAGUGAAGAGAGGGGCUGGGGUUGUGGCUCAGGGGUAGAGCGCUCGCCUAGCACGUGCGAGGCCCUGGGUUCAAUCCUCAGCACCAUAUAAAAAUAAAUAAAUAAAACAAAGAUAUUGUGUCCAACUACAACUAAAAAAAAGAGGUGAAGAGAAUAUAAUAGACGCUGUUUAUGAUACAAUGUGUUUGAAAACAACUGUAUUUUGGUGAGUCAUGGAAUAUCCAGUUGUGGUUACAUGGUCACGGGAACAUUCCUAUUUCAGGUCUUUUCCUUCAGGGUUACUGGGAUAAGUCACAGGUUACUUUGAUCUUUAUUCAAAGAUCCCUGACUAUCUAUCCUGAGUUUCUUGAGAUUGGAGCCAGGUGUGUAUCCACACUGAGGAUUUAGCCAGGGAAGAACAUGACAAGUAUGCAACAGAGGGCCUGUUGAUCAGGUUUCCAUGCCUUUGAUUGAGGAUUCCUACACAGUGGAGCUCUUGCUAUUGUCCACUGACCCACCCCAAGGUGCUGAAAUCACAGCCAAGGAGGCAGCUGAUUAACACAGUACUUGGGGGUGUCAUCUGGCACUUUACAGGGGUGAAGCUAGCCUUAGGCUUUUAGAUUUUUUUUUUAAACAAUAGGGAAGAUUCAGUCAUCUCUGUGGUAUUUUAAAUUCCCAAGGACAUCAGAUUGAAAUAUCAGUUGUCAGAUUCUUUUAACAAUAUGUCUUCAAAGUUUUUGCUUUAAUAUCUAAAAAAGGAUUCCUUUUUUUCUCAUUUCAAAUCUUUAAGUAUUUUGGGUGAGAUAAAUCACUCAUUUGCCUAUGACCUUUUAGAAAAGUCAUUUUAUGGAAAUACUGUAUGUAUACUUAAUCUAAAUUUGAGUGGACUAUCCUUUAGUGUAUUUAUAAAUGAUCAACUCAGUUUAUGAAAUUAAACUUUUUAUUUGCAAUUUUUUAAAAUGAAAAAAAGAAAAUACCUGGGUGGAAUAAGUAUGCUCAUUCUCCUCCUCAUCAUAGUUUUCCUUUUAUGCCAUCCCUCUUCUUCCUUGUUUUUCACUUUCUACUGAUAGUCAGUCCAGGGCCAGUGUUCUGUGAAGGAAGGCAAGUGUCCAUCCACUGCUUGUUGGUUAUGGGGGCAUUCACCAUCCUAGCAUGAGGUCAUGGGGGGACAUUCUACCUUCUUGAAAUAAAGUAUGGCUGAAGAUCCCCAGAAGAGUCUCUUCUGUCCUGCAAACAAUCAAACAGAUAAACAAAAACAUGCACAUGUUACUUGUGAACAAAUAGAACCCUCCCUGGGCACAUUUCCAGCAAAAGACUUAAAGGCUUUUUUCUCCUUGUAAGUCUUUUCCCCACAGAAUCUGAAAAGUUGCAAAGUUAGUCCAGGAUGCAUCACUUCAAGGUGUGCUCUGUUGCCUUUCCUCCCUUCCAAUCCUAUGUACACAACAGGAUGGAAUUCUGUGUGUACCUGCACUGUAUCUCCACCAUCUUCACAUGAAUGCUCCCACUUAGACAGGCAGAGGCACCCACACAGAUACCCACAUAUACACUUGCAUGCACGUGGGUCCCCCGUAGACUCCAUUAUCCACACUGGUACACACAUCCAAAGAUAUACUGAAGCACAGAAGCUCAGGGCUCCGGGUCACCCCCUUCACAUGCACAUACACACACAUACACACACGUACACACACACACAGACACACAAUCCCACCUCCCGUUGUUACAGGGCUGGUGCCUUCUGGGAAACUGAGGCCAUCCAAAAGCCCUUCCUCAAACCCUGACUCUUGUGAUUAAGUCAGAAAAAUUUCAGACGUCACUCAGAGUAACAUGGUAAGAUUAUUAGAAGGGAUGGGAAAGAAGAAAAGGGGGCAUUCUCAAGGGAGAGAGUGGUUCUCUCAGAGAGGAGAGGGAAUGUGUGCCUCUCCUGUAUUCCUAUUUUAUUUGGUAUCUCAGAGAAGUUUCCAGAGUCCUGCCCAGGUCCACCUCUUGACUUUUUUUUCUU